rnacentral:rRNA from 1 species
CGUGGAUAACCUGCCCAGAGGUGGGGGAUAACCCGGGGAAACUCGGGCUAAUACCGCAUGAUACCGAGAGGUCAAAGGGGGCUCGCAAGGGCUCUCGCCAUUGGAGGGGUCCGCGUCCGAUUAGCUAGUUGGUAGGGUAAUGGCCUACCAAGGCGACGAUCGGUAGCCGGCCUGAGAGGGUGAUCGGCCACACUGGAACUGAGACACGGUCCAGACUCCUACGGGAGGCAGCAGUGGGGAAUUUUGCGCAAUGGGCUAACGCCUGACGCAGCAACGCUGCGUGGAGGAUGAAGGUCUUUGGAUUGUAAACUCCUGUCAGCAGGGAAAAAGCGAAUUGGCCUAACACGCCAGUGAGUUGAUUGUACCUGCAGAGGAAGCCCCGGCUAACUCUGUGCCAGCAGCCGCGGUAAUACAGAGGGGGCAAGCGUUAUUCGGAAUUAUUGGGCGUAAAGGGCGCGUAGGCGGCUUGGCAAGUGGAUGGUGAAAUCCCUCGGCUUAACCGAGGAACUGCCGUCCAAACUGCUUUGCUUGAGGCCGGGAGAGGCGAGUGGAAUUCCCAGUGUAGCGGUGAAAUGCGUAGAUAUUGGGAGGAACACCAGUGGC